AGAGUUUGAUCCUGGCUCAGGAUGAACGCUGGCGGCGUGCCUAACACAUGCAAGUCGAACGACAGGUAUUCAUCUCAUUUCGGUGAGAAGGAUAUGCUGAGUGGCGAACGGGUGAGUAAGACGUGGGAACGUACCCUGAAGGAAGGGAUAGCGACUCGAAAGGGUCGGUAAUACCUUAUAAGCCCGAGAGGGGAAAGGUGCAAAUGCACCGCUUUGGGAGCGGCUCACGGCCCAUUAGCUAGUUGGUGAGGUAAAGGCCCACCAAGGCGACGAUGGGUAGCUGGUCUGAGAGGAUGGUCAGCCACACUGGGACUGAGACACGGCCCAGACUCCUACGGGAGGCAGCAGUGGGGAAUUUUUCGCAAUGGGCGAAAGCCUGACGGAGCGACGCCGCGUGGAGGAUGAAGUCCUUCGGGACGUAAACUCCUGUUGUAAGGGAACAAGGAGUGCGGGGGUGGAAAAUCCGCACUAGA
rnacentral:rRNA from 1 species